AGAACGAACGCUGGCGGCAGGCUUAACACAUGCAAGUCGAACGCCCUCGCAAGGGGGAGUGGCAGACGGGUGAGUAACACGUGGGAACAUACCCUUCGGUUCGGAACAACGCCGGGAAACUGGCGCUAAUACCGGAUACGGCUUUUGAGCGAAAGAUUUAUCGCCGAAGGAUUGGCCCGCGUUCGAUUAGCUUGUUGGUGAGGUAACGGCUCACCAAGGCGACGAUCGAUAGCUGGUCUGAGAGGAUGGCCAGCCACAUUGGGACUGAGACACGGCCCAAACUCCUACGGGAGGCAGCAGUGGGGAAUAUUGGACAAUGGCGCAAGCCUGAUCCAGCCAUGCCGCGUGAGUGAUGACGGCCUUAGGGUUGUAAAGCUCUUUCGCACGCGACGAUAAUGACGGUAGCGUGAGAAGAGGCCCGGCUAACUCGUGCCAGCAGCCGC
rnacentral:rRNA from 1 species